GAUGAACGCUGACAGAAUGCUUAACGCAUGCAAGUCUUUCGCGAAGCUGUGCUUGCACAGCCUAGCCAGGGCGGACGGGUGAGUAACGCGUAAGGAACUUGCCCUGCAGUCAGGGAUAACAGACGGAAACGACUGAUAAGACCUGGUAAAGUCAGACGGACUCAUGUCCAGCCUGAUGAAAAGAGAUGCUGCAGGAGAGCCUUGCGUCCUAUUAGCUUGUUGGUGGGGUAACGGCCCACCAAGGCGAUGAUAGGUAGCCGGCCUGAGAGGGUGGACGGCCACAAGGGGACUGAGAUACGGCCCUGACUCCUACGGGAGGCAGCAGUGGGGAAUAUUGGACAAGGGGGGCAACCCUGAUCCAGCAAUUCUGUGUGCACGAUGAAGGUUUUCGGAGUGUAAAGUGCUUUCAGAAGGGAAGAAAAAAAUGACGGUACCUGCAGAAGAAGCGACGGCUAAAUACGUG
rnacentral:rRNA from 1 species